AGCCAAGCCGUUCCCCCCUCUGUUCCGUGGCGACAAGCUCGGAACGGCGCGAGGGGGCCGGAGAGCCCAGCAGGACCGGCUCUGAAGAGACCGUGGAGCCCGUCUGACGAGGGGACCCACCUGGAUACCCCCUAAGGCUGCCGAACCAGCUCCGGGUCACGCAGCCUUCUACCAACUCACCUUUAGUUUUGUUUUUUUUUAAUCCAUCACCAAAUUUAAGUGGCAAACAUGCAGUUAAGCUUAAAUGAACAUGUGAGCAUUGAUAUUACCUUAUACAAAGAAUUAAUUCACAGACAAAUAAGAUUAAAAUCGGAUAAUAAAGAAAUUUAGACUCUUGGGCAAAACUUGGUCGCCUAGAAGUAUAGACAGUUGAAGUCAAAGAGUGUUUUCUAUAUAUGUAUCCAUAUAUAUUUGGAAGGGGGUAAAAAUCAAGUCCAAGGAGAAAAGGUUGUUACCUUUCACCACUUCACUAGCUCAGUUUACUUGGAACAUUAAACCACCAAGAUAUCAAAUGUGGAAGUGAGCUGGAUCAGUGAAAUGCAACCUUUCACUGUCACUGAAGGGAACAUUACAGCAUCACUGCACCAUGGUCAGAAAGGGAAAGUAUAAAACAUAGCCAGCAAAUGAAAAUCAAACGAAUUAUCAUCCUAAAUACACAUGUAUUGAAUAAAGCACUAACUUUAUUUUAUUUCCUCUACAACCCUUAUUUUGAACCUGUGAAGAGGGAAAAUGUUUGCUGUUAAGGAAGCUGGUUCCAAAAUCCACUACAGAUGAACGGCAGUGGUCCAGCAGUGCAAACAGAGGGUAAUUGUGCACGUGCUCGAUGCUGCCCGCCAGUAGUGACAGAAACCCUUGCAGGGUGCACAAAUCAAUGCUGGAGGAUGAUUUUGGUUAAGAUGAGGGCAUAAAAGCACCAUGCUCACUAAAUCUAAGGAUACCAAUCACUGUCAUGAUUUAAGUCUCUUUAGGGCAUUUGGGGCAGGAAUGGUGAUGAAAGGCACGAAUGGAUUAAUCAUUUCAGUCAGGCCUCCCAAGGCCAUCACUGGACCAGCAUCGUUCGGUAUGCACGGUCCAUGCUCUCUCUGGCUUUACGUGGUGGACAAGGAUAGGAUUUAUUCUGAGAAUUUCCCAUAAUACUGCAUGCAUCUAGUGUAAAAUUCCUCUAUGAUUAUACGUCCAGAAAUAAAACAUAGUUUCAGAGCCAGCAAAGGCUCCAAUAAUGAAGGGAGCCAAACACUGUUGACCAGCCAAUAGUGACUGACACCUGCUGAGCACUCACCUGCCUCUUGGCAUAGGCUGCUGCAAACUAGCACAGGCUGCUGCAGCCCUGCUAGAUAUUGUGCCUUCAUCACUGAUGUGUUUAGCUGCUCAUCUUCUAUAGCACCAGAGAGCAGCUGUGGAAGUCAGAGACCCUAUUACACACAUAUCCACUUUGAUAUGCCAGAAGCAUCCUGUUCUUCUAUCCAGUAAAAUUUUUUCAGCUGUUUUAUUACUCCCCAGCUGCUGUCAUUCCAAGGUGCAAAUGAAAUGACGGAUGGGUGUUUCUCCUCUCACACACACAAGUGACUUUGAACAGCUUGGGUGGCAGCGCUGACAAACUUGAAGUGAGCAUGCCUCUUGCAAGAGAGGAAAAAAGUGCAUGGGAGUGAACAUCUUAAAGUUCACUGAAACAUUUAAUAAAGAUGACAUUUCAAAAUUUUAUAAGUGCAACAGCAACAUCUACAAACAGCUACCUCUUAGGAUCUUACCAAACCUUGCUGUAAGGGAUGUUUCUUCUUUAAAAAUAGCCGCUGCUGGAGACAUGCAAGUAAAAAUUCUUAUGUAUAUUAUUUUAAUUAUGUUCAAGCAUUGUAGCUAAAACUGUAGCUGUAUGGCAUUGGACAAUAAAGCAUAAAGUUUUGGAUUCCACAUGACUCGGCAUUUGUAGAUUUAUGGAGCUGUUUAAGAUUUUUAAUAAAAGGAGAAGAAAAUCUUGUGGUAUUCUAGCAAUUCCACAAAGUGUACGGAAAAAAAUUAGCUAAGCAGAAUAUACCUACUCUAGGAAUAGUGGGCAAAAUGGUAUGCAGCACCAAGCUGGAGCCACUGGGAACAGCUUUCUGAACCUCUUACUAGUGAGAGUUUAUUACUUUAGUAAAACACCUGCAAUCAUUCAAACACAGAAGGGUUAGGAAACUGUAUUUUUCUAAAAAGAAGAACUCUAUAGCAAGGGAACAAUAUCUAAUUAUUCCAGAGUGUGGUGCCUUAUUCUGUCCUUUUAGAUACUCCUUUUUAUGUUUUUCCAGACAACAUGAAAUUAUAUGCUUGACUGAUAUCCAGCUCUUAAAAGGCACAGCCAUUAAGAUAUAUUAGCAUUGUUGUCUACAGUGUGAUGCCAUAUCAAAGGAAAAUAUAACUUAAACUGUAUUUAUUUUCACCUCCCAUCAAUACUAGCUUGCCAGAAGAUUCUCUGGGAUGGAAGUUUACAUUUAUCAAAAUACUACUCUUUUCAUGAGAAAGACACAGUGGAAAAUAGAAGUCCUUUAUAUUUGGAAUGGAAAAUAGACCUAUUUUUUGUUUUGAUAUCCAUUGUUCGAUGAGAAGUGCAUAAAAAAAUUAGGACAACUCAUCAUGUCUUAGUGGCGUACGAGCCCUGCCAGUGCCUCUCUUCCAAGUUCCAAUCAAAAACUGAAAUGAAAAGAGCAGAAAAAUAGUAACAUUUCCUUCCUCCAGCAAGAGUCCCAAAAGGAGGUGUUAAUGAGAGAAUGCAGAACAGACUUCUUCAAUAUCCCAUAUCUUAAGAAAUGCCAGAAGUGUCAAAGUCCAUUGGUAUGCUAUGUAGCCUUGAUAUCCCUUCAUGUUCUGCCAUUUCACAUUAUUUGUUUAUGCUAGAAAUAGCAGGCUACGAAACUCAGGUGAAGGAAAGGCUGGAUACUGGUACUGCAAUUUUUCUGUAUUUAUCUGUGCGUGACUCCUAGUUCCCCCUUGUCCCACAAGUUUGCUGAGAGGCGAGCCAAACAAUCAGGGAAUGAGGGGGAAAAAUAUAGGAAAGAGAAUUAAGGACUCCAGAAAAAAUAUGAAAGAAAACUUUUAUUGGAUUUGUGCUCAGGGAAGGAAGUAGCUUUAGCAAACUAGAGCACAAUAUUCGUGUUGUGUUAGCCCCAAGAAAAACCUAAUAAUUCUCACCCUUCAGAUAAACUUAUGGGCUGUUUUCUAGUUUUGAAGGUGUUUUUAAAGUUGGAUUUUUUUAAUGCAAAAAAAUGUGUCACUAGCCUUGGACUGCACAGAUUUCUCAGCAGGAGAGAUUUCUGAAGAGAAAGAAACACUUGGAAACUGAUGUGACAGGCAAUUUUUACUGUAUAAAAUUAAUGGUAGCUGUUUGAAGCUGCACAUGUGUCUGAAACAUUAAAAAACCCACAGCUGAAUUUUUGAUCUGGAAGCAUAGAAGAUCAAAAAAGCAUUACACUUUUGCCAAAUGCUUCCAAAGUGUGGGGCCAAGCUGCUUACUUCUAUGUAAGCAUUUUGAGUCCUAUUUGUAAGUUAACCAUUCUUAUUUUUCCAGACUUGGAAUUAAUUUUGGAAGCUACUGUAACUAUUCUGUUGCACCAACUCAGACCUCACUUCUCCCCACAAUAUACAAAAAAGUGUCCUUUCUUCACCUUUUGUCUCCUACAAUGGACAGAUUUCAUCCUGUCAUGAAUAAAGACUGUAUCUCAC